rnacentral:rRNA from 1 species
AGACCCGAAACCCGGUGAUCUAGCCAUGGGCAGGUUGAAGGUUGGGUAACACUAACUGGAGGACCGAACCGACUAAUGUUGAAAAAUUAGCGGAUGACCUGUGGCUGGGGGUGAAAGGCCAAUCAAACCGGGAGAUAGCUGGUUCUCCCCGAAAGCUAUUUAGGUAGCGCCUCGUGAAUUCAUCUCCGGGGGUAGAGCACUGUUUCGGCUAGGGGGCCAUCCCGGCUUACCAACCCGAUGCAAACUGCGAAUACCGGAGAAUGUUAUCACGGGAGACACACGGCGGGUGCUAACGUCCGUCGUGAAGAGGGAAACAACCCAGACCGCCAGCUAAGGUCCCAAAGUCAUGGUUAAGUGGGAAACGAUGUGGGAAGGCCCAGACAGCCAGGAUGUUGGCUUAGAAGCAGCCAUCAUUUAAAGAAAGCGUAAUAGCUCACUGGUCGAGUCGGCCUGCGCGGAAGAUGUAACGGGGCUAAACCAUGCACCGAAGCUGCGGCAGCGAACGUAUCACUUAAAGCGAUUCAGCGGGUUACGAUUGACGGAGCGAAGCGACGUCAAAGCGUAUACAAAGUCGAGUCGGUUUAAGGAUACGUUCGUUGGGUAGGGGAGCGUUCUGUAAGCCUGUGAAGGUGGCCUGUGAGGGUUGCUGGAGGUAUCAGAAGUGCGAAUGCUGACAUAAGUAACGAUAAAGCGGGUGAAAAGCCCGCUCGCCGGAAGACCAAGGGUUCCUGUCCAACGUUAAUCGGGGCAGGGUGAGUCGACCCCUAAGGCGAGGCCGAAAGGCGUAGUCGAUGGGAAACAGGUUAAUAUUCCUGUACUUGGUGUUACUGCGAAGGGGGGACGGAGAAGGCUAUGUUGGCCGGGCGACGGUUGUCCCGGUUUAAGCGUGUAGGCUGGUUUUCCAGGCAAAUCCGGAAAAUCAAGGCUGAGGCGUGAUGACGAGGCACUACGGUGCUGAAGCAACAAAUGCCCUGCUUCCAGGAAAAGCCUCUAAGCAUCAGGUAACAUCAAAUCGUACCCCAAACCGACACAGGUGGUCAGGUAGAGAAUACCAAGGCGCUUGAGAGAACUCGGGUGAAGGAACUAGGCAAAAUGGUGCCGUAACUUCGGGAGAAGGCACGCUGACACGUAGGUGAAGUGAUUUACUCA